rnacentral:rRNA from 1 species
CAGCAGCCACGGUAAUACGUAGGUGGCAAGCGUUGUCCGGAUUUAUUGGGCGUAAAGCGAGCGCAGGCGGUUUCUUAAGUCUGAUGUGAAAGCCCCCGGCUCAACCGGGGAGGGUCAUUGGAAACUGGGAGACUUGAGUGCAGAAGAGGAGAGUGGAAUUCCAUGUGUAGCGGUGAAAUGCGUAGAUAUAUGGAGGAACACCAGUGGCGAAGGCGGCUCUCUGGUCUGUAACUGACGCUGAGGCUCGAAAGCGUGGGGAGCAAACAGGAUUAGAUACCCCUGUAGUCCCUGUCUCUUAUAA